GGAGUCUGACAUGUGUGCGAG
rnacentral:siRNA from 1 species